rnacentral:rRNA from 1 species
GACGUAGGGCGCGAGCGUUGUCCGGAUUUAUUGGGCGUAAAGAGCUCGUAGGCGGCUUGUUGCGUCGACUGUGAAAACCCGCGGCUUAACUGCGGGCUUGCAGUUGAUACGGGCAGGCUAGAGUUCGGUAGGGGAGACUGGAAUUCCUGGUGUAGCGGUGAAAUGCGCAGAUAUCAGGAGGAACACCGGUGGCGAAGGCGGGUCUCUGGACAGUUCCUGACGCUGAGGCACGAAGGCCAGGGGAGCAAACGGG